CCAAGGAGUCUAACAUGUGCGCGAGUCAUUGGGUCUUGCUCAGGCCCAAAGGCGCAAUGAAAGUGAAGGCCGGCUCGGUCGGCUGCGUUGGGAUCCCGCCCUUUUCUGGAGGGCGGGCGCACCAACGGCCCGUCCCAGUCGCUGCGUCGACGGGGCGGAGUGAGAGCGUACACGUUGGGACCCGAAAGAUGGUGAACUAUGCCUGGGCAGGACGAAGCCAGAGGAAACUCUGGUGGAGGUCCGCAGCGAUUCUGACGUGCAAAUCGAUCGUCAGACCUGGGUAUAGGGGCGAAAGACUAAUCGAACCAUCUA
rnacentral:rRNA from 1 species